rnacentral:rRNA from 1 species
CCUACGGGAGGCAGCAGUGGGGGAUAUUGCACAAUGGGGGAAACCCUGAUGCAGCGACGCCGCGUGUGGGAAGACGGUCCUCUGGAUUGUAAACCACUGUCCUCAGGGACUAAGAUGACGUUACCUGGGUAGGAAGCUCCUGCUAACUACGUGCCAGCAGCCGCGGUAAUCCGUCGGGAGCGAGCGUUGUCCGGAAUUACUGGGUGUAAAGGGAGCGUAGGCGGGGAUGCAAGUUGGGUGUCAAAACUACCGGCUAAACUGGUAGUCGCACUCAAAACUGUAGCUCUUGAGUGAAGUAGAGGCAGGCGGAAUUCGUGGUGUAGCGGUGAAAUGCGUAGAUAUUAGGAGGAACACCAGUGGCGAAGGCGGCCUGCUGGGCUUUUACUGACGCUGAGGCUCGAAAGUGUGGGGAGCAAACAGGAUUAGAUACCCUGGUAGUC